rnacentral:lncRNA from 1 species
CGUGCCCUUGGCACAAUCUGAUGCAAAAACAAAAAUUUGGGUCUACCGUCAACCGCGACGUCACUCGACAGUUCGAAACAGUCUACACCCUUCUGUAAAAUAAACUCGGCAUCCCAGCACGAGCGUAAACCCAUCCUACACUAAUCUGGGUAUCUACCGCAUACAAACUACAGCAAUACAAACAAACCACAGCUCCUAAAGCUAAAUCUGAUAGUUUUCAGAAACUGACAGUGUAGGAUCUAUAGUUUUCUCCUAAGACAAUUCCAAGUCCAACAUGUAAAAUUAUACUACUACUUAACUAAAAAUUUGAAUUUUAAGCCUAAUUCAUGAAUCCGAGUGUUAAGGAUUUUAUAGGUUGGCGAAUUUCGUAAAGUUGUUUGGAGUCUUGAAGAGUUGAUCACAAAAGUUUUGGAGAAGAGAUUCAAAUUGGAGG